UAGCGGCGGACGGGUGAGUAACACGUGGGCAACCUGCCUGUAAGACUGGGAUAACUUCGGGAAACCGAAGCUAAUACCGGAUAGGAUCUUCUCCUUCAUGGGAGAUGAUUGAAAGAUGGUUUCGGCUAUCACUUACAGAUGGGCCCGCGGUGCAUUAGCUAGUUGGUGAGGUAACGGCUCACCAAGGCAACGAUGCAUAGCCGACCUGAGAGGGUGAUCGGCCACACUGGGACUGAGACACGGCCCAGACUCCUACGGGAGGCAGCAGUAGGGAAUCUUCCGCAAUGGACGAAAGUCUGACGGAGCAACGCCGCGUGAGUGAUGAAGGCUUUCGGGUCGUAAAACUCUGUUGUUAGGGAAGAACAAGUACGAGAGUAACUGCUCGUACCUUGACGGUACCUAACCAGAAAGCCACGGCUAACUACGUGCCAGCAGCCGCGGUAAUACGUAGGUGGCAAGCGUUAUCCGGAAUUAUUGGGCGUAAAGCGCGCGCAGGCGGUUUCUUAAGUCUGAUGUGAAAGCCCACGGCUCAACCGUGGAGGGUCAUUGGAAACUGGGGAACUUGAGUGCAGAAGAGAAAAGCGGAAUUCCACGUGUAGCGGUGAAAUGCGUAGAGAUGUGGAGGAACACCAGUGGCGAAGGCGGCUUUUUGGUCUGUAACUGACGCUGAGGCGCGAAAGCGUGGGGG
rnacentral:rRNA from 2 species